rnacentral:misc_RNA from 1 species
GAUGAAGAACGUAGCGAAAUGCGAUACGUAAUGUGAAUUGCAGAAUUCAGUGAAUCAUCGAGUCUUUGAACGCACAUUGCGCCCCCUGGUAUUCCGGGGGGCAUGCCUGUCCGAGCGUCAUUGCUGCCCUCAAGCACGGCUUGUGUGUUGGGCCUCCGUCCUCCUCCCGGGGGACGGGCCCGAAAGGCAGCGGCGGCACCGCGUCCGGUCCGCGAGCGUAUGGGGCUUCGUCACCCGCUCUUGUAGGCCCGGCCGGCGCUUGCCGACACAUCAAUCUUUUUUCCAGGUUGACCUCGGAUCAGGUAGGGAUACCCGCUGAACUUAAGCAUAUCAAUAAGCGGAGGA